AUGAAGGAUCUAGGCGUAGCUAAUGUUAUCUUAAACAUCAAGCUGUUGAGAGAUGAGAAUGGUGGGAUCACACUGCUUCAGUCUCAUUAUGUGGAAAAGGUCUUGAGUCGUUUUGGGUAUAGCGACUGCACGCCUUCUCCAACUCCAUAUGAUGCUAGUGUUGCCACGAGGCCAGACAUCUGUUUUGCUGUGAGCAAGCUGAGUCGGUUUGUGUCAAAACCGGGAGAUGAUCAUUGGCAUGCGCUUGAGAGAGUUAUGCGCUAUUUGAAAGGCACCGCGAGCUAUGGGAUUCACUACACCGGGUAUCCAAGGGUACUAGAGGGUUAUAGUGACUCAAACUGGAUAUCUCAUGCUGAUGAGAUUAAGGCCACAAGUGGUUAUGUUUUUACACUUGGUGGUGGCGCUGUUUCCUGGAAGUCUUGCAAGCAGACCAUCUUAACGAGGUCAACUAUGGAAGCAGAACUCACAGCAUUAGACACUGCCACUGUUGAAGCAGAGUGGCUUCGUGAACUCUUGAUGGACUUACCUAUGGUUGAAAAACCAAUACCCCCUAUCCUGAUGAACUAUGAUAAUCAAACUGUGAUCGUCAAGAUAAACAGUUCUAAGGACAAUAUGAAGUCCUCAAGGCAUGUGAAGAGGAGACUAAAAUCUGUCAGAAAAUUGAGGAACUCUGGAGUUAUUACGUUGGAUUAUAUCCAAACGUCGAAAAACUUGGCAGAUCCCUUCACAAAGGGUCUAUCACGUAAUGUGAUAGAUAAUGCAUCGAUGGAGAUGGGUUUGAGACCCACGCAUGAGUUGUCCAUAGUG
rnacentral:rRNA from 1 species